rnacentral:rRNA from 1 species
ACGGGUGAGUAACGCGUGGGUAACCUACCCUGUACACACGGAUAACAUACCGAAAGGUAUGCUAAUACGGGAUAAUAUAUUUGAGAGGCAUCUCUUAAAUAUCAAAGGUGAGCCAGUACAGGAUGGACCCGCGUCUGAUUAGCUAGUUGGUAAGGUAACGGCUUACCAAGGCAACGAUCAGUAGCCGACCUGAGAGGGUGAUCGGCCACAUUGGAACUGAGACACGGUCCAAACUCCUACGGGAGGCAGCAGUGGGGAAUAUUGCACAAUGGGCGAAAGCCUGAUGCAGCAACGCCGCGUGAGUGAUGAAGGCCUUCGGGUCGUAAAACUCUGUCCUCAAGGAAGAUAAUGACGGUACUUGAGGAGGAAGCCCCGGCUAACUACGUGCCAGCAGCCGCGGUAAUACGUAGGGGGCUAGCGUUAUCCGGAUUUACUGGGCGUAAAGGGUGCGUAGGCGGUCUUUCAAGUCAGGAGUGAAAGGCUACGGCUCAACCGUAGUAAGCUCUUGAAACUGGGAGACUUGAGUGCAGGAGAGGAGAGUGGAAUUCCUAGUGUAGCGGUGAAAUGCGUAGAUAUUAGGAGGAACACCAGUUGCGAAGGCGGCUCUCUGGACUGUAACUGACGCUGAGGCACGAAAGCGUGGGGAGCAAACAGGAUUAGAUACCCUGGUAGUCCACGCUGUAAA